rnacentral:rRNA from 1 species
CAAAGGCUUGGUUCUGACUUUACUAUCAGCUCUAGCUAUAUUUACACAUGCAAGUAUCUGCCCCCCUGUGAGAAUGCCCCCUCCGUUCUCCACCCCUCGAGAACAAGGAGCCGGUAUCAGGCCCACACAUCGUAGCCUAUGACGCCUUGCUUUGCCACACCCCCACGGGAACUCAGCAGUGAUAAACAUUAAGCCAUAAGUGCAAACUUGACUUAGUUAAAGCUAAGAGGGCCGGUAAAACUCGUGCCAGCCACCGCGGUUAUACGAGAGGCCCAAGUUGAUAGUUAUCGGCGUAAAGAGUGGCCUGGGAAAAAUUACAAAAUAAAGCCGAACAUCUUCAAUACUGUUAUACGCGCUUGAAGAUAAGAAGCCCCACCACGAAAGUGGCUUUACCCCUUCCCACCCCACGAAAGCCAGGAAACAAACUGGGAUUAGAUACCCCACUAUGCCCGGCCGUAAACGUUGAUAUGUAAUUACAAAUAAUAUCCGCCCGGGUACUACGAGCGUCAGCUUAAAACCCAAAGAACUUGGCGGUGCUUUAGACCCCCCUAGAGGAGCCUGCUUCUAGAACCGAUGAUCCCCGUUCAACCUCACCCCUCCCUGUUAAUUCUGCCUAUAUACCGCCGUCGCCAGCCUACCCCGUGAAGGAAUUAUAGUGGGCCAACCUGGUACAACCCCCAACGUCAGGUCGAGGUGUAGCAUAUGGAGGGGGAAGCAGUGGGCUACAUUCGCUGGAUCAGCGAACUACGAAAGAUGAACUGAAAAACGCAUCCGAAGGUGGAUUUAGUAGUAAGAGGAGAGCAGCGUGCCCCUCUGAACCCGGCUCUUAAGCGCGUACACAUCGCCCGUCACUCUCCCCGAAUUAACCUAUAAUCGUAUGUAACAACACGGAUAACCCUAAGGGGAGGCAAGUCGUAACAUAGUAAGUGUACCGGAAGGUGCACUUGGAAAAU